AAGCUCGUAGUUGAAUUUCGGGAUUCGUCGGUUGGUCGGGCUUCACUGUCCGCACUGACCUGACGGAUUCCUACCUUCUGAAUAACCAGCAUGCUAUUAAGUUAGUGCGUUGGGGAAGCAGAGCUAUUACCUUGAAAAAAUUAGAGUGCUUAAAGCAGGCUUGUGCUUGAAUAGAUUAGCACGGAAUAAUAAAAUAGGACGGCAAUGGUUCUAUUUUAGUUUGGUUUCUUAGGAGUCACCGUAAUGAUUAAUAGGGAUAGUUGGG
rnacentral:rRNA from 1 species